rnacentral:misc_RNA from 1 species
GGAAAAGAUAAACCGCCUACAGGAUUCAUGUUCGAGAAAGAGCAAAUCAAAGGGUUGUACUUCAAUCAAUCUCCUACCAAGGAUGUAGCUUUGGCAAUGGUUUCAAUGAGACCCUUCCCACUGGGUCCAGUCAUGGAGAAACUCUCACUAUCCCCUGAAAACUAUGGAACCGGGCGGCGAUUCUUCGUUCAAACACUCGAUGAUUAUGCACUCUCACCUGAUGUUCAAGAGAAGUUGGUGAGGGAAAACCCACCUGAAAGAGUUUUCAAGAUAAAAGGCAGUGAUCAUUGCCCAUUUUUCUCUAAGCCACAAUCACUCCACAAGAUCCUCCUGGAAAUUGCUCAAAUACCAUAAACUAG